UACGUAGGGACCGAGCGUUGUCCGGAAUCAUUGGGCGUAAAGAGCGUGUAGGCGGCCACUUAAGUCCUGCGUGAAAUCUUGCGGCUCAACCGCAAGCGGUCGUGGGAAACUGGGUGGCUAGAGUGCGGGAGAGGAGAGUGGAAUUCCUGGUGUAGCGGUGGAAUGCGCAGAUAUCAGGAAGAACACCAAUGGCGAAGGCAGCUCGCUGGGACGGUACUGACGCUGAGGCGCGAAAGCGUGGGGAGCAAACAGG
rnacentral:rRNA from 1 species